UACGUAGGGGGCAAGCGUUGUCCGGAUUUACUGGGCGUAAAGCGCGUGUAGGCGGCUUCGCAAGUUGGAUGUGAAAGCCCACGGCUCAACCGUGGAAGCGCAUCCAAAACUGCGUCGCUGGAGUCCCGGAGAGGAAGGUGGAAUGCUUGGUGUAGAGGUGAAAUUCGUAGAUAUCAAGCAGAACACCUGCGGCGAAGGCGGCCUUCUGGACGGUGACUGACGCUGAGACGCGAAAGCGUGGGGAGCAAACAGG
rnacentral:rRNA from 1 species